AGGUGAAUUUAGACUCUGGAGGUCUCAAGGUCAAGAGAGAAACUGCAUGGCGGGGGGCCGACCUGCUGAGCCAGCCGAGCAAGGAGUCCUGACUGAGAACUGCUCGGCCUUCCUGGUUUCUCUUACCGAAGGCAGAAAGUGAACGAAGUGUGGACCACACAGUGGGGCAGGUGGCGAAUUGAACUGACCUGUGAUUCAGUUGUUAGGAGCCACUCCGUCAUCUGCUGCUGGAUUUUAAUCUAGGCCUCUAAUAUCUUUGGCGACAUCCAGUUUAUCCUGAGUUUUCGGAGGGACUGGUGGCCACUGCUUCUCAGGACUUCCUGGAGGACUCAGAGAUUUCCUGGCCAGGAUCUGACCUCCUUCAGGAUUGACAGGACAAUUGUGGAGCCCCAGUCUCUGAAAACCUCCAACAAGAGAAGAAAACACCGGUCUCCAGGGAGAGAGCAAAGGGCUUAACGAAACGAUCCCCUCUCCAAUGCCCCUUCUCCCUGAGAUUCUGCAGAUCUAGGGAAGUGCAGGUGUCCAGCCUGUGGGUGUCAGAAUGGCUGGGGAGAUAUUUCCCCCACAGGGACAGUCAGUCACAUUGGUCACCUACAUGAGGGUAUGGGCAGAAAUCACAGAGUCCUCACCUGGGUCCACUUACCUGGUGCAACAGGACUUAUUUUCAAAUCAUCAAGGCCAAAAAGCGAUCGGAAUGAGAAGGGGGCUUCAACAGCAGGCGGAUCAUUUUC
rnacentral:lncRNA from 1 species